rnacentral:rRNA from 1 species
UACGUAGGGUGCAAGCGUUGUCCGGAAUUAUUGGGCGUAAAGAGCUCGUAGGCGGUCUGUCGCGUCUGCUGUGAAAACUCAGGGCUUAACCCUGAGCUUGCAGUGGGUACGGGCAGACUAGAGUGCGUAGGGGAGACUGGAAUUCCUGGUGUAGCGGUGAAAUGCGCAGAUAUCAGGAGGGAACACCGGUGGCGAAGGGCGGGUCUCUGGGCCGUAACUGACG